UAAGGAAUAUUGGUCAAUGGAGGCAACUCUGAACCAGCCAUGCCGCGUGCAGGAAGAAGGCCCUAUGGGUCGUAAACUGCUUUUGAACAAGAGAAAACCCCGGUACGUGUACUGGGUUGAUAGUAUUGUUAGAAUAAGCAUCGGCUAACUUCGUGCCAGCAGCCGCGGUAAGACGAAGGAUGCAAGCGUUAUCCGGAUUCAUUGGGUUUAAAGGGUGCGUAGGCGGACUGAUAAGUCAGUGGUGAAAUCUCUCGGCUUAACCGAGAAACUGCCAUUGAUACUGUUAGUCUAGAGUACAGAUGAUGUGGCGGAAUAUGACAUGUAGUGGUGAAAUACUUAGAUAUGUCAUAGAACACCGAUUGCGAAGGCAGCUCACAAAACUGUAACUGACGCUGAGGCACGAAAGUGCGGGGAUCAAACAGGAUUAGAUACCCCCGUAGUCCCUGAGCGGGCUGGCAAGGCGCAU
rnacentral:rRNA from 1 species